GAGAGAGAGAGAGAGCGAGGGAGAGAUUGCACUGGGGAGUUGAGUGUGUGUGAGAGAGAGAGGGAGAGAGAGAGCGCGCACUGGGGAUGUGUGUGUGUGAGAGAGAGAGAGAGAGCGAGAGAGAGAGCGCGAGCGCAUUGGGGAGGUGUGUGUGAGAGAGUGAGAGAGUGAGAGAGAGACAGAGAGAGAGAGCGCACUGGGGAUGGGAGAGGGAGAGAGAGAGACAGAGCACUGGGGAGGUGUCCGACACAUGACCAGACGUUCGCGCCUCUUUUGGAUUCCCGAAGAUUCAAAACAAGUUUUCGAGGUUGUUGGAAGAUUCCUGUGGAUCAUGUCUCCUAUAAAGGCACUCUAAAUUGGAUGUCAGUGCUUGUAAGCAAACUAAUCCCAUCCACGCUUUUCCUGCUAAGGUGCAUCUUGUGCAGUCAGUGAUCCAGUGUAGUAUCUACUGCGCUUGGUGCUCCUUCAGGCAGGAGACGGUGUACGUUCAACGACUGGAAGCCGUGUCCUGCGUUAAGCAUGUGUAAACCUCCUUGAAUUAUUGAUCACGCUGUCCUAUUUGUUAACACACUCCCCGGAGAGUAUGUAAUGGCACUUUGUGCUUGGCUUGUCGUCCUGGCAGUUCCAAAGUGCUCACAGUGCAGGUAGUAGCCGCUGAUCUACUGCAGUGUGUGCACUUCAUGUAUUGCCGGUCAUCUGCAUCAGGACAAUCGGAGCAACACUGGGAAUGCUCUGUUGCACAGCGAGUUUUGCAGGUUUGCAUCCAGCUUUAAUACAAUAUGCUGUGCAAAUCCAUGCAAAACUGGCGGUUACAGGGGGAAACUUCACCAAUGAAUCUAAAACUAAACAUGCUUCUGGGUUUGCAAUACGUUUGUAUGCAUUUCGCGUUUUAGAUAAGGAUGUACACACGUGCAUUUAGUUGUUUCACCAGCUGAUGUACACAAGCAUGGCUGGUUGUUUGUUUGUUUGUUUGUUUGUUUAUUUAUUUGUCAGUUUUGUUCUAGUUGCAUGCAUAUGUUUGUCUUGCUGUUUUCGGGUGGAUGACUUUGCAAUUUUAGCGAUACUCGAAAUAUUCUCUGAAAAAAAUUGCACGGUAUCCAUCUGUAAUCCGCCAGAUCACGUGACCCCUCAGAGCAGCAUAGUAUGUUUUGAAACUAUAACAGUAUAAAUUACUUGUGCUGGUUUCCAGUUUCAAGUAUCAUAAUCAGUAUCAGCCUCUUUAUCUACUUAUUGGCAAAUGAAAAUACUCUUGUAUCUGGUGUUAAAUCAUCCCUUUUUGGCCCACACAGGUAUAUACAGUAUGGCCAGCAGGUGGCGGUGUAGACUCGCGUAAGCAAAAUCUGUUUUCCUGGAACGUUGUUUUUUGUUUUUUGGGUUUUUUUUUUUUUGCUAGUAGUUAGUUGUCCAACAUAAUCUAGGCUAAAUGUGCUAACUGUAUUUGUCCGAGUGAUGAAAUGAAAAGACCCUUUGCAUGUAAAACUGAGUGUAAUAACUGUAUCUUUGCCUCCAGUACAUAUAAAACAUUCUUAGAGUUUUUAAAUGAUGUCUGUUGAACAAACGUUUUGUUGAAAUAAACAAUAAACAUUUUGUCUCCGCA